GGGACCCCAUGAUAUUCAGCACUGGGCUCUGACUGCCCCUGAAGAUAUAGUGCCACCCAGGACCUUAGACACCUGGGGAUCUGAGGGCCCC
ensembl:snoRNA